ACAAGGAGUGGCUAGUGUUAAGUGUGACGAAGGAGAUUUUUCUGGGUGAAAAUUUUUUUAACCUGUUGGAGCAAACCAAUCAUGUUUGUAAAUUCCUAAGUAAACGUCAUAUAGAAAGUCCUUGGGCGUUGAUGGUUCUUCUUGAAAGUUCAAUCCUUCCAGGAAGUUCCUCCACCUGAUGACGGUCUCAUAUUCCAUCGUCUGAAGCAGCAGCACCGCUGCCGUUACCUUUCAGGACUGGCCAUGGGGCACACAUACACUGCUGUUCUUUUGUUUUUUUAUUUUAAAAAACUAAACUAAGCAUAGAGUAGAGAAUUGUUUCAUUUCUACUCAACUGGUUCUUGCCAAAAGGAGUGGCCAGUGUCAAGUGUGACGAAGGAGAAAAUCUCCUUAACUUGUUGGAGCAAACCAAUCAUGUUUGUAAAUUCCUAAGUAAACGUCACAUAGAAAGUCCUUGGGUGUUGAUGGUUCUUCUAGAAAGUUUAAUCCUUUCAGGAAGUUCCUCCACCUGAUGGCAGUCUCAUAUUCCAUCGCCUGGAGCAGCAGCAUCGCUGCUGUUACCUUUCAGGACUGGCCAUGACACAUACAUAUGCUGCUAAUUUUUUUUUUAAAAAAUAAACUAACAUAGAGUAGGCAUAUUGUUUUGUUUUCUACCCAACCGCUUCUUGCUACAAGGAGUGGGUAGUGUCAAGUGUGACAAAGGAGAUUUUUCUGGGUGAAAUCUCUUUUAACUUGUUGGAGCAAACCAAUCAUGUUUGUAAAUUCCUAAGUAAAUGUCAUAUAGAAAGUCCUUGGGUGUUGAUGGUUCUUCUUGAAAGUUCAAUCCUUCCAGGAAGUUCCUCCACCUGAUGGCGGUCUCAUAUUCCAUCGCCUGGAGCAGCAGCAUUGCUGCCGUUACCUUUCAGGACUGGCCAUGAGACACACAUACACUGCUAUUAUAUUAUUAUUAUUAUUUUUAAAAGGAUUAAACUAAGCAUAGAGGAGACAAUGGUUUCGUUUCUACCCAACUGCUUGCUACAAGGAGUGGCUGGUGUCAAGUGCGACGGAGGAGAUUUUUCUGGGUGAAAAUCUCCUUAACUUGUUGGAGCAAACCAAUCAUGUUUGUAAAUUCCUAAGACAACGUCACAUAGAAAGUCCUUGGGUGUUGAUGGUUCUUCUAGAAAGUUCAAUCCUUUCAGAAAGUUCCUCCACCUGAUGGCGGUCUCAUAUUCCAUCGCCUGGAGCAGCAGCAUCGCUGCCUUUACCUUUCAGGACUGGCCAUGAGACAUACAUACACUGCUAUUCUUUUACUUUAAAAAAAAAAACUAACAUAGAUUCGGCAUAUUGUUUUGUUUUCUACCCAACUGCUUCUUGCUACAAGGAGUGGGUAGUGUCAA
rnacentral:lncRNA from 1 species